rfam:Triticum aestivum genome assembly, contig: Triticum_aestivum_CS42_TGACv1_scaffold_221992_3B
CUUAUACUCCCUCCGUCCGAAAAAGCUUGUUCCUCAAAUGGAUGUAUCUAGACCAAGUUAGUGCUAGAUACAUCCAUUCGAAGGACAAGUUUGGGACAAGUUUUUUGGGACGGAGGGAGUACUUG